GAUGAAGAACGCAGUGAAAUGCGAUAAGUAAUGUGAAUUGCAGAAUUCAGUGAAUCAUCGAAUCUUUGAACGCACAUUGCGCCCGCCAGUAUUCUGGCGGGCAUGCCUGUUCGAGCGUCAUUUCAACCAUCAAGCCCCCGGCUUGUGUUGGGGACCUGCGGCUGCCGCAGGCCCUGAAAUGCAGUGGCGGGCUCGCUGUCACUCCGAGCGUAGUAGUUACAUCUCGCUCUGGGCGUGCUGCGGGUUCCGGCCGUUAAAAGCCUUAUUUACCCAAGGUUGACCUCGGAUCAGGUAGGAAGGCCCGCUGAACUUAAGCAUAUCAAUAAGCGGAGGA
rnacentral:misc_RNA from 1 species